rnacentral:rRNA from 1 species
GUCCACGCUGUAAACUAUGAUUACUCGAUGUUGGGAGUUCGACCCUCCCGGUGUCUAAGCUAACGCGAUAAGUAAUCCGCCUGAGAAGUACGGCCGCAAGGUUAAAACUCAAAGGAAUAGACGGGGACCCACACAAGCGGUGGAACAUGUGGUUUAAUUCGAUAGUAAACGAGGAACCUUACCAAGGCUUGACAUCUCCAGAAUUUUCUCGAAAGAGAGAAGUGCCGUAAGGAACUGGAUGACAGGUGCUGCAUGGUUGUCGU